GCUCACAUAGAUCUAACGUCGCCCGAUUAGGAUGUCUGCCUACGGAGCAGAUGGUCGUAGGUUCGAAUCCUGCAUCGGGUA
rnacentral:tRNA from 1 species